rnacentral:rRNA from 1 species
AUUGAACGCUGGCGGCAGGCCUAACACAUGCAAGUCGAACGAGUGGCGGACGGGUGAGUAAUGUCUGGGAAACUGCCUGAUGGAGGGGGAUAACUACUGGAAACGGUAGCUAAUACCGCAUACCAUCGGAUGUGCCCAGAUGGGAUUAGCUAGUAGGUGGGGUAAAGGCUCACCUAGGCGACGAUCCCUAGCUGGUCUGAGAUGAUGACCAGCCACAGUGGAAGUGGGAAACGGUACAGACGCCUACGGGAGGCAGAGUUUGGGAAUAGUGCAGAACGGGCGCAAGCCUGAAGCAGCGAUGCGGGGUGGAGGAAGAAGGCAGGCGGGCUGUAAAGUACUGACAGCCGGUAGGCGUUACCCGCAGAGGAAGCAACGGCAAACGCGGUGGCAGCCGCCGCGGUAAUAC